rnacentral:lncRNA from 1 species
GGAUUACAUGAUUAGCCAUAGCUACCUCUUAUAAAUGUUGAUGUUCAUCCAUAUUUUACUAUUAUUUUCCAAUACGCUUUUAUUACAUCAUCUCAUAUGCAUAUAUAUGAGUUAGAGAAUUGGAUAUUGAGAAAAAUUGAGGAUUUGGCACAAAGGAUAUUAUGAGCGGAUAUUAAUUAUGGACUUCAAUAUUAUUAAUGAAUUGGGUUGCACGUCUGAACAAUGCUUGGAUAUGGAUCCGUCCCUCCGAAUUCAGGUGAGUGCCUAUAUUACUCUAGGCCCUAUGAGCGCAUGCACUUAAAUUGGUGCUAGUUUGGAUCCUUGGCUAGUGUCAGGUAUAUAGUUGGUACUGUGAGGUGUUGAGGUAGAUCACGAGCAUAUAUAUGCAUUCUAGAUUAAUGUCGUAGCCUUUACACAUAUUCUUAUCCUGAUUCUUAAAGUAAUUUUGAUAUGUGAUUAUGUAUUGCGGUUCUUUGCCUGAAAAGCAUGCCUAAAUAUCCUUUACUACUGUGACUUAACCUUUAUAUCUAUUUGGUGAUACCAUGCCUUACUUAAUGCUUUUUUAAUGCUUUCACUUGCUUAUUAUAAUGUUAGUGAUUGUCAGUGUCGAUCCCUUGCUACCACUUCUUCGAGGUUAUACUUGAUACUUUCUGAGUACCGUAGUUUGUACUCAUACUAUACUUUUGUAUUUUUUUUAUGCAGAUUCUGAAAUCGAUACCAGUCAUACUCGUCCAGCUACUUAGUAGCUUGCAUUCAGAGACUGCAUGAUGGGCUACCUACUCGUUCGAUCCGCAACACAUGGAGUCCCCCUCCCUUGAUUGUCUAUUUCUGCCUUUUGCAUCUUUCAUAUUGAUAUUGCUAUAUUGUUAGAUACUGUUUACUUUUAUUAUCAUUAGAUGCUCGCGAUAGUUGUGACAUCUGAGUUUUGAGCAUUGCUAGACAGUUGUGGUCGUCUUUAGACCUUGUCUCAAAUAUUAUUUGUCUUUAUAUUGGUUUGAGACUAUUUCUGCUUUUAUAUUCAUUAUAAUUCUUUUUGUAACUUAACAAAUUGACUUCUAUCUUGUUAUUGAAUAUUGACUUGCCUAGCAAAUAAAUUAGGCGCUAUCACGAUUUUUGGUGUGAUUUUAGGUCAUGGCGGUAUUAAUGACUGAAGAACUUUUUUGAGGGGAAGAGAGGAAUAGCCCACCUUGAGUGUUAAUGAUUGAAGAACCUAUCUUAAUUUAUGUGUUAUACUUACUUUUUUAGUCUAUCACAAAAAGAAUAUUAUAUUUCUCUAUUUAGAAAUAAUUUAAUUUUAAACUUUAAUUAAUACAUGACUUGUUUUAGAUCAUAAAUUUUAAUAUUCUUUCUUUCUUUUUUUUCAAAUUACAUACCUAAAAUAAAUAUUGUCACAUAAAGUGAAACGGAAGAAGUAGGAAAUACUAAGGUAGAACUAAGGACACAACUCUGUGAUUGUGUGUGUGAUUGUGUGUGUGAUUGUGUGUGUGAAUAGAGUAUGGGCUUAGGGGACAAUGUUAGAGAAGAAAGAUUCUCUUGAAUCAUCAACUACCAUCUACAAGAAUCAAGUCAUGUGGAGUGUCCAUUUUGAAGUAAAAACGAAGAACGAUAAGAAGGAAAAAGAAAAGGCAGAAAUUGGAGCUAAAAAGGUACAUAUGUCAAUAGGCCUACCAUGUUAUGUAAAGACCAAAUUGAUUUGAAAUUCUAAUAAAGCCUUUUACAAGAAGCACCUUCAUCAAGUUUGGACAGAACGAUAUGCCCAAUCUAAAAG